GGCUGGUUAGCAUAAUCGGUAAUGCGCCCUACGGCUGUGCUACGGCACAGCCUUCCCUCGAAUGGCACUUGGUUUCAGGUGAUAUUCGAGGGGUAGAUGGAGGUUCGAGUCCUCUGCCAGCCACCA
rnacentral:tRNA from 1 species